AUUAAUAUAAUUUUAUAAAUAUAAUUUAAAUAAAUUAGCUGGACAUGACUAAGUUAUAGAGGUAUCAAUUCAGCCUGACAUGGCCCAUGGAUACGGCUUCAUUUACCUUUGACUUAGCAAGCCUCGGAUCUUCAAACGGACCUCAUAGCCCAAUAUAUAUGGGCUCAACGUAUGUUUUUCCCCACCAACAAAGCAGGCGACCCGGCCCGAAUAAGUCGUCAUUUUGCCAUUUUGGCGACAAAAUAAAUAUCAUCCGGACUUCCACACAAAGCUUUAUCGCCAAAAGCUACUGCAAACAAGCAAAAACGAAGUUCAUUUUUCUUCCCUCAGCUCGCCACAUGAACCAUUAAUUUCUCCUUCACUAAAAUCAAAACAAUGAUGGCUGUUCGCGCCGUCAACGGAGGUUCUUUGUUUCGUUCCGCCGCAUCACCUCCUCUCUUGACGUUCUGCUGCCGGCUUCGCCACUUUGGCUCCUUACAGUUUCGCCGCAACUCUGAAUUAGGGCUUCGGUUUCCUAUCUUCAGUUGCGAGAAUCAGUUUUUAGGUUAUGGCGGUGGCCGUUCACGUUCGGCUCAUAGUCUCGUCGAUUGCGUCAUGGAAGAGCUAGCAGAUUGGCGCUGUCGCAGAAGAGUUCGCGCCAAUGUCAAGGUGAGGCUAACGAGUAGCAGUGAGCUUCUUGAGGAUAAGCUUGUAAAUCGAGAAUUAGAAAAGGGGUUGCUGCUGGAGUUUAAGAAGGAUUCGGAUAGGGUAUUGCUUGGAGUUGCUCAGAGACCUGAUGGCAAGAAAAAUUGGAUGGUGUACGAUCAGAAUGGUGUCACAUCAUCCAUCAAACCGCAGCAAAUUACAUAUAUUGUUCCAGGUGUAGAAAAUUUUGAUCAGACAGAAAUUUCAAAAUUUCUCCGAGAAGCUCAGGAAAACUUGGAUCCAACAUUACUAGAAAUUGCUUGGGUUGAGCUUCUUGAAAAGAACAAGUCAGUGACAGCAGAAGAAUUAGCAGAGAUGAUUUUUGGUAGUUCGGAGCCUCUUGAGAGCUACUGCGCCCAUCUUUUGCUAUCAAAAGAUGAAGUAUACUUUAGUGUGUUGGAGACAAAAGGUUUUCGUUCCAUUUAUGGGCCUCGACCAACAGGACAGGUGGAAGAACUUUUACGCAAGAAGCUUGCCAAGGAUGCUGCUGAGAAAGAACUUCAGGACUUCGUACAAUUACUUCUGUCUGCUAAAGCAAAGCCUGCACAUGCUAAACCUCCCAAAUCUUCAUGGAUGGUGGAUGAGAAAAUCCAAUACAAAAUUGAGUCUCUUGAAGCAUAUGCCAUUGAUGCUUGGAAAAGUGAUGAGCAAAGGAAAACUGCUGGACUGAUCCUUAAGGCAAUGGGACUUACAAAAUCAGCAUCCUCAGCACUAAACCUACUCAUAAAUAUUGGUUAUUUUCCUGUACAUGUCAAUCUGGACCUGUUAAAGUUAAACAUUCUUACAAACCAUUCUGGUGAGAUUAUAGCUGCUGCUGAAAGUCUUUUGUCUGAUUCAUCUGACCCAGAUGAGAUGAACAGAAAGGAUCUUACUCAUUUGAAGGUUUAUGCUAUUGAUGUUGAUGAGGCUGACGAGCUUGAUGAUGCCUUGAGUGCAACAAGGUUGCAAGAUGGCCGCAUUAGAGUAUGGAUACAUGUUGCAGAUCCAAUUAGAUAUGUUGAACCUGGGAGCACAGUAGACAGGGAAGCACUGAGAAGAGGAACUUCUGUUUUCUUGCCAACUGGCACUUAUCCUAUGUUUCCUGAGAAACUUGCCAUGGAGGGAAUGAGUUUGAAACAAGGAGAACAUUGCAAUGCUGUCAGUGUAUCUGUUGUCUUGCACUCUGAUGGCAGCAUUGCAGAGUAUUCAGUUCAAAGCUCAAUCAUUAAACCAACUUAUAUGCUGACCUAUGAGAGUGCAACUGAGCUGCUUCAUUUGAACUUGGAAGAGGAGGCUGAGCUGAAGAUUCUGUCUGAGGCAGCCGCUCUAAGGUUAAAAUGGCGUUGCCGGCAGGGUGCAAUUGAUACAUCCACCCUAGAAACUCGAAUUAAAGUGGUUAACCCAGAGGACCCAGAACCAUCGAUUAAUCUUUACAUUGAAAACCAGGCAGACCCUGCAAUGCGACUUGUUUCUGAGCUCAUGAUACUAUGUGGAGAAGUUGUAGCAACUUUUGGCUCUUGCAAUAACAUUCCUUUACCCUAUAGAGGUCAACCGCAGUCAAAUAUUGAUGUAUCUGUGUAUUCACAUCUUCCUGAAGGACCAGUUCGAAGCUCUGCCAUUGUUAGAAUAAUGCGGGCAGCUGAAAUUGAUUUCAGGAAGCCUAUUCGACAUGGGGUUCUGGGAAUUCCUGGUUAUGUUCAGUUUACAUCACCCAUCCGUAGAUAUUUGGAUCUUCUUGCUCAUUUUCAGGUAAAGGCAUUUCUUAGAGGUGAAUCUCCACCUUUUUCAGCUGGUCAGCUAGAAGGGAUGGCAUCAAUAGUAAAUAUGCAAGUUAGAGUAGUAAGGAGGCUCUCCAGCAGCAGUCUCCGGUAUUGGAUAAUAGAAUUUCUGAGAAGGCAGCCAAGGGAGAAAAUAUAUCGUGCAUUGAUCCUUCGAUUCAUCAAGGACAGGAUUGCAGCGUUGUUACUAGUUGAGGUGGGACUUCAGGCAUCUGCAUGGGUGUCUGUAGGAGCACAGGUAGGAGAUGAAGUAGACGUUAAAGUGGAAGAAGCCCAUCCUCGUGAUGAUGUUCUUUCCCUUAAGGAGGUUAUUAGAAACUGAAGUGAUUUAUUUUGAAGAAACUUAUCAGUUAUCACUGUAGAUACAAUUUUGUUUUUUCUCAAUAGACAUGCUGUUUGUAAAAUGCUAAUUCUUUUUUCGACAGCAGUUUCCUUUAGCAAGAGUUAAUGCAUUAUCAAAACUUGUGUAACUUCCGAAAGCAAUCCGGAAUGGACCACUUUCAAUUGUCAGAAGUUAUCCCUUACAACUACGCACUUUUGGUUUUACCUUUUCUUCGAUGAGAACGGACGCGUGACGCACAUAAGUUAAGCAGAUUUAGCCGCCUUUGGCUGCUGAUACGAAAGCAAAGGGGCGGAGAGUAAGUCGGAGAGUAACAGUCAGCAAAUAGCGAUUUGCCCAUUUUAUGAAUUUAAAAGAUUCCCACGAUUUUCAUUUCUUGCGUCACAACUUCCUGCUUUCAGGAUGUAAAACCUAAUUAAAUAUAUAUCGGGUUUUCACAUGAUUUAAAAAGCUUUCGUUUAAGUUGCUUCUCCAUUAGUGUGUCGGUUUGGAGGUUUUAUUCAUCAUCAUGCUUCAA